rnacentral:lncRNA from 12 species
AUGCAGUUAAUUAAGUUUGCCCUUUGGAAAACUCCAGAGGUCAGGAAAUUUAACCUGCUCUCUCCCCUCUUUGUUCAGGUGCUGUUGAAAGAGAGAGAACACCUGGGGACAGAGACCGGCCAGGUAUCCAGUCUGCCAGCCUUCUGCAUGGGUUUUGGGAGCCUGCAGAGAGUUGCUUGGGAUGCAGCAGUGGUUCUGAUGCUCGGAGUUCAAGGAAUCUCUACAUCCGACGUGGAGCUCAAACUCACGACCCAAGAUCAAGAGUCCCAUUCUCUACUGACUGAGCCAGCCAGGUACCCUGUUGUAUUUUAAAUUAGCUUGUAUCUCCUCUUGGGAAACUGGGGAAAUUGGAUAUUUUUAGACUAAAUGAGCCAACAGUUAUCUUUCAGUCCUGGCUAAAGCCCAAUGCUAUGUUGUUCACUAGCUGAGGAAUGGAGAAAAAUAGGAGAAGGGAUAGCAAGGGACAAUAUCAUGACAAUUGUUCUAGGACAACCUCUUCUUUAACAGAUGGAUC